GCUCUUACUGGGUUCCUGAAGUUGUUUUAUACUUCUAAACAGACAUAUCCAGCUAUGUUGCAAGAAGUGAAUGGCUCUUCACCCUUAACAGUCUGCCCAGAUAAGGGCUGUUAGCGACCAGAGAACCUGUUUUUCAGAGUAAUGAAGUAGAGCCACCAGGAUUGGUGAUAAGAAUCCUUUUCCUAGACAGGAUUCAUCCCAGGAGAGCGUGGUGCACAGUAGUCAACAGCUCUAACACUGCUGCAGCAGAAUAACCAUUCAUCUGGGGUACUUCCUGGCCUAGUGAAAAUUUCAGCUUGGUUAAAAAAGCAUUGCAUUUCCUACCAAACCAAAUCAGACAUUCAAAAUAUGUCCAGCUCCCCUGAGCAUCAAAUGGAGGAGGGAUCAGCAAGUCCAAGGCUUGGUCCUAAUUUGACAAUUUUAAGAGCAGAACAAGAUGCUGAAUUGCAAUCUCAGCGCUGGAGCACAGCAGCAGACAUAUUCUAAUGAUUUUGAGAAAUCUGAUCUGUUUUUCUCUGGGAUAUUUUGUACCAAAUUGAGAGUGCCAUGAUGGAUAUGACUAGCUGAGAAGAGCUACAGACUGUGUUUAUUCCUAAAAACAGCAUAGCCAGGAUAAAUAGCAGCCUKUACAUCAUUCUGUUUCACUGGAGACUGAUCCUGAUCUUACCCAUYCAAUUUCAUGCACAUGAAUAUUCCUCUUGAUUAAGGUUUUCAUUUGAUUGGGAAGUACUUCUGCAGGGCCUCAUGGAAAAGGCAGCUGGGUGCUUUGUCCUGCUCCCUCCCUGGCAGCAAAGCAGCCAUAACUGGAGAAGAUGGAGUGGGUUUUGAUGGCCCCGUGUAGAAUCUGAGGAGGUCCAAGAGGGUUCCUUCCAUGCUGAGACUCUACAGAGCUACAUCAGCUCCUGGAAUGUUCUUGCCAAUCGAUGCAGCUGAUGCAGGAACUCCAAGCUUUCUGUGUGGUGGUGUCCCAAGGAGCAGGAGAUGAGAAAAUGAAUGCACAUAUUGAAUGUCUCACGAAGAAAUGUGGAUCAGAAUUCCCUGCAAGGAAAAGACUGUGGAGGAAAUGAAAUAGUCCAGCCUUCAGAUACUGCAGCCUUGAAUGGCAUAGGAUGGGAUAUUGAACAACAAAAAGGCUUGUUGAUCAACAAAAAUGUUGAUCAUGGGGGAAAACUCUUUGUCCAGAUUGCACCUGCAUUGAGAUAAGUUUUAAUGGUGGUUUUUUAGAGUGUGGAUGCCAACUGAGCUAAUGCUGGUGAGAAACUACAGUAGGUAAUUCAAGGAGACUACGUUUUCUUAAAUUCAUUAGCUGCCCACUGAGGGUUGAAGAGAACAUAACUAAAAAUUAUUAUAUAUGAAUUAUGAAGUUCAAAGAGAAUGUGUUACUUCGCUCACACAAAAUUUCAAGGGAGACAAAUCAUAGGGGUUUAUUAGCAUAUUCUGCCUUUUCAACAAAUCUUGCAAGGAAGGGAAAACCCAAUAAUGUAAAGGAGUUGAAGAUUCAUGUUUCCAUAAUAGCUGUAUCUGCACUAUCCUACCUGUGAAAUUUAUUCUCUGUGGGUGUGGGUGCUGUUGAAUAGUUUUUAUUUCCCAGCUAUCUUUYGCUUUUCCCUGUAAGCAGCUCUUAUGAGUAUUUGUAUUAAAAKGCAAUCCUCUCCUAGCUAGAACUUUCUUCAGCUGCAUUACCCCUGGGCCAGGGGCCUUGCAGGGAGCAAAGGGCAGCAUGCAAAACUGAUCAUGAAUACACUCRCAAAAAUUCUUUUUUAUUUGAGCUCAUUCAUUCUAAUUGUUCUCUCGAGGCUUGAUCCAGAGCACAGAGAAGCCCAGAGGGGACUCUUUGGGCUGUGGGUCAGGUUUUCAGGUCACCUGUACAUGGCACGUGGUGAAUAAUGAGCAGCACACUGCACAGRGCCAGCUCCUCGGGCCUGACCUGGAGGAUGGAGUGCAUCUGUCAGGAUCCCGAUCUGGAACAGAAGAUCAGAGCAAACGGGGGCUGAGGAGAACAAAAGCUGACCCAAACCUUUGACCUAAACAUAAAGCCAAAUGAAACUUUAGAGGUUUGUAAAUGUUCAUGAAACAUUUCCACCUCCUGCUCCCMUCUCCUUUAUCUUCAGUUUCUUUAUGCUUCUACACUUACUGUUUCUAAUUGAAAGUCUAAUGUAAAGCACCCCUAAAUUAAUGGAAAGGCUCUCACUGAUUUUAGUGCCUUCUCAUUCAGCCUCCCAAAGAAAGGAAAUGAUUUCUUUAAUGAAACUUUCUUUAAACUUAAGAGAAGAUAAAACCUGAAGAGAGAAAAAGAAAAGCAGAGACYAAAUGCAAUUUUCCAGCUAGCAGCACAUGUUCUUGAUCUGAACCACGCCCAUAAAAUUGCUAUGGAUAUUGUUAUCCCAGGAAAAAAAAAAUCACUGUACAGAAACAGAGAUUUGCUGAGACAAUGGUGAAUUGGUUUAAAAAGCUUUAAUAUCUGCUAGUAAAGAAUGGUAACAUUUCUGGGUCUUGAGAUCAGGUUGUCCUUUAGAAGCUAAACCCUGGUAAUUGGCUGGCAUUUGUCACCUGAAGUCUCCAUUCAUAUGUGUGAGACUUUCCUUUGUACCAAUAUGGAAAAAUGAAACACAGGAAAU